rnacentral:rRNA from 1 species
UGCAUGACUCUUGGCAACGGAUAUCUAGGCUCUCGCGUCGAUGAAGAACGUAGCGAAAUGCGAUACUUGGUGUGAAUUGCAGAAUCCCGUGAACCAUCGAGUCUUUGAACGCAAGUUGCGCCUAAGACCACCAGGUCAAGGGCGCGUCUGCCUGGGCGUCACGC